CCUACGGGCGGCUGCAGUGGGGGAUAUUGCACAAUGGGGGGAACCCUGAUGCAGCGACGCCGCGUGAGGGAAGACGGCCUUCGGGUUGUAAACCUCUGUCGCAGGGGACGAAGGAGAUGACGGUACCCUGUGAGGAAGCCACGGCUAACUACGGGCCAGCAGCCGCGGUAAUACGUAGGUGGCGAGCUUUGUCCGGAAUUACUGGGUGUAAAGGGAGCGGAGGCGGGAGAUUAAGUUGAAUGUAUAAACUACCGGCUUAACCGAUAGAAGCGUUCCAAACUGCUAUUCUUGAGUGAAGUAGAGGCCGGCGGAAUUCCUCGUGUAGCGGUGAACUGCGUAGAUAUUAGGCGGAACCCCAGUGGCGAAGGCGGCCUGCUGGGCUUUAACUGACGCUGAGGCUCGAAAGCGUGGGUAGCAAACAGGAUUAGAUACCCCUGUAGUC
rnacentral:rRNA from 1 species